rnacentral:rRNA from 1 species
CCAGCCCGCUCAGAAACUCAAGGAAUUGACGGGGGCCCGCACAAGCGGAGGAGCAUGUGGUUUAAUUCGAUGAUACGCGAGGAACCUUACCUGGGCUCGAACGUAAGAUGACUGUAGGUGAAAGCUUACAUCUCUUCGGAGCAUUUUACGAGGUGCUGCAUGGUUGUCGUCAGCUCGUGCCGUGAGGUGUCGGGUUAAGUCCCAUAACGAGCGCAACCCCUACCUUUAGUUGCCAUCAGGUAAUGCUGGGGACUCUAAAGGAACUGCCUACGCAAGUAGUGAGGAAGGCGGGGAUGACGUCAAAUCAGCACGGCCCUUACGUCCAGGGCUACACACGUGCUACAAUGGCCGAUACAGAGGGCAGCUACCUGGUGACAGGAUGCAAAUCUCCAAAGUCGGUCUCAGUUCGGAUCGGAGUCUGCAACCCGACUCCGUGAAGUUGGAUUCGCUAGUAAUCGCGCAUCAGCCAUGGCGCGGUGAAUACGUUCCCGGGCCUU